CGGAUAUGCACCCAAACGCACAUCCCAUGGUUCUCUCUCUCACCACAUCGUUCUCCCCCACUGGUUCAGAUCUAGAAACAUUUCGACGUUGUGGAGAAAAUGUUCGUUUAGGUUUAUGAUUUUUCAUUGGGGAUGUUUUCCCUGAUUAGGUCAAAAUCAUUUGGACAUGGGACACGCAGGUUUCAUUGUUAGCCUUUCAUUGGGGAUGUUUUCCCUGAUUUUGGUGUUUCAUUUCUUACUAGGUAAGAUGAAUAAGUGCUCCCUGAUUCUAUUAGUCCAUGAAGAUCAUUGAGGUUGUUUUCCCUGAUUUUAGUGUUUGAUUUCUUUCCAGGGAAGAUGAAUAAGUGGUCCCUGGUUUUGAUGUUUACAACAAUCACAGGCGUUUCAUUAUGUGCCCACUAAUUGUCCUGGCAUUGAAAGAAUGAAAAUAUGUGGCCUAUAUAAGUCACCAUAUUUUCAGAGGCAAAGCACGCUCAAUCACCACAUCUUCCCUAUUUUGAAAUUCUCUGCUGCAGUGAUUCCAGAAUUUACGUAAUGGCUACCACAGUGCUUCCCACCGCUGCCUCUGGUGUUCAGGCUCUGGGAAUCUUAACACUGAAAGACUUUCAGCAAAAAGAUGGAAUCGGACCAUGGAUGGCCCGAGUUCGCAUUGUCCGGAUGUGGCAUGAAAUAGACUUCAUGAAAACCAAUGAUGUUACCGGCCUUGAUUUGCUCCUGCUGGAUGACACCGGGUUUUAAUAACUACUAAUAAUAUUAUUGCCUUAUCGUAUCUCAGAGUGACCUUCUGCACGCAAUUGUUCAAAAGAAAUUCAUUUGGAAAUUUGAACCCCUGGUAGAAGAGGGGAUGCUGUUGUGUCUUAACAAUUUGACAUUUGCCCCAGGAAAAAAAAUGUUCCGCCCUGCCCAGAAUGACUACCGCACCUACUUUAACUUGAAUACUGAUAUUACACCACUUGAAGCCUCCAGUGCGUCGAUUUCUCGCCACAAGUUCAAUUUCACUGAGCUUGAGAACCUUGCAGCUGCUAACACCAACACUUACCUUACUGGUGACUUCAGUGAAUAUUACAUUUAUUGAAUCCCAAGCCGUGCUUAAAUCACCUAAUAUUUAACUAUUGUUGUUUGCAGAUGUUGCCGGUGUGCUGACCAGCCACACAAACUUGCAGCAGUUUAAAGCGAAAUUCUGGCAAUGCAAGUUUCAUGCGUGAGCUAACACUGGAAAACUUAAGUGGUUUGAAGAUUAAGGUCACACUAUGGGGUGAUUCCACUUCUGAGCUUACCCGGAACCUUGAAGCGCAUGAAUCUGCGGCUUGCUGGUGUCUAUGUCAAGCAAUAUCUUGGCAAGGCGUCGCUCUCUUCAACUAAUGCGACAAAAAUUUACUUUGACCUCGAUAUUCCAGAAGAGCCAAACAUGUCGGAUGUAUUGCUUGAUGUACAAAAUUAACCCAAUUGGCUGAAUUUGCAAACAACCUUAUCUUAAUUCCAUCCCUGCAUAUUAAAGUAAACUAUGUGAUUAUACAUCCCUGCUUGAUGUAUAACUAAGCGAAUUAUGAUACCAACUAACAUAUCUAUAUCUAAUACGCAGAUAUCGACUUGGCUGGGGAAAUAACUCCAAAAGAGCCAAACAUGCCGGAUGCAUUGCUUGAUGUACUUCCAGUUACCAAUCAGAAUCAGAAAAAGACGGUUAAUGACUUUCUACAGCACAUUGGAAAACCAAAGUUUACGCACAAAACAAUAUGCAAAGCAACAACCACUCAAAUAAUAAAGAGUUGGUACUAUUUAAUUGCACCAAUUGCAAUUACGGGGUUAUGGAUGGAUUGUGACGGUGAACUUUGGUGCUCUAACUGUCAGAUCCAGGUUGAUAUACCAAUACCAAGGUUCUCAAUUCGGUUAAGGGUGGAAGAUCCUACAGAGACUACUAUUUUUGAAGUGCCAGACUUUAAAAUCCAAAAGAUCCUGCGAUGCACGACAACAAAACUGCUCCGUUUAGAAGAGGUAUGUAUCAUGUGCAAGGCAACACAUUUAUGAAAUAUGAGUUAUUUCACAGAUGACACCGGUCCCAUCACACCUGGGAGCGGAGCACGGUAACCAGCAAGUUCCCGUAAUUCUACCCAACCUGACUAAUUGCUAUCUUUCUUAUGGAACCAAGAAAACGGAAAAAUUGCCAUUGACAAGGCGUUGAUGACAGUCCUAGGCGUGGAAAUUGAUUACCAGGUAACUAUUGACCAGUAUUACCAGAAUCAAGAAUACAAGAUAUACGUGGUGGCAAGGAUGACUUACCCAUAUGCCUCAACAGCUGAUCUGGAUAUAGAGCGUUUAUGCAGGUUGCCCAGCAACAAACAUGCUUCGUUAUCAGCGGAACAUAACCCACAAAACAAGGUCUGCAUAGGAAACAACUAAAAGGGGCAGCUUUUUGCUUUACAUCGGACAUAUCAUUAAGUACGUCGGAGUUUAUGGGGUUUUUGUUUUUUGCUUUGCCUAGGAAUAAGUCAUUAUGGUGUUUGUCUGUUACUAAGCUUAGUCAUAAGCCUAAGUUUGUCUGUUAAAAUUUCAUUUCCUAUUUUCAUAGUUGUCUAUGUUUCUUUGCUAAGGUUUUUAAUGCUAUCGGUCAUUUAAUCGUUUACCAUGAUUUUCAUUUAAACAUGAUUUAAGGGUAUUUGAUAUGUGUGAAAGCUAAGAAUAAUUGAUAUAUGCAAAACCCAACUGGAGUACUAAUCUGAUAAAAAAAAAAAAAAAAAAC